rnacentral:rRNA from 1 species
UACGGAGGAUCCAAGCGUUGUCCGGAUUUAUUGGGUUUAAAGGGUGCGUAGGCGGAUCUUUAAGUCAGUGGUGAAAUCCUGCAGCUUAACUGUAGAACAGCCAUUGAAACUGAGGAUCUUGAAUUUGGUUAAAGUAGGCGGAAUGUAUCAUGUAGCGGUGAAAUGCUUAGAUAUGAUACAGAACACCGAUAGCGAAAGCAGCUUGCUGAACCAAUAUUGACGCUGAGGCACGAAAGCGUGGGGAGCGAACAGG